CUGGUGUAGCUGCUCCAUUCCAGGCUUACAGGAGAAGGAGGAGGAGGCACUUGCCACGCACGCUGGAGACUCGAGCCUGCCUUGGCUCCCCUUGCUGCUGUGGUUGGUGGUGGCAAGGAAGACGACAGUGCAGCCAGGAUGGCUUUUCUGGCUUUGCCUGCCCAGUUGCUCCGCGCGAAGAGGAGGGACUACCUGCUGCUUGCUGGAGGCUAGAGCCUGCGACACUGUGGCUCGCCUCGCUGUGGUUGGUGGCAGCGAUGGGGACUGCAGAGUGCCAAAGCGGAUAUUUGACCUCUGACCAGCCAGCAUCAGUAGCCCACUGCUCCCUGGCCUGUGAGCAGCACCUCCAGCCUCUGCCCCUGCCACCCUCUCAACCAGGUGGUGGCCAACGCAGUGGCAGCGCUCUCAGAAAUCGCCGAGUCUCACCCGAGCAACAACCUGCUCCAUCUGAACCCACAGUUCAUCAACAAGCUGCUGACAGCCCUGAUUGAGUGCACCGAGUGGGGCCAGAUCUUCAUCCUGGACUGCCUCACCAACUAUACGCCCAAGGACGACCGCGAGGCCCAGAGGUUUUCACUGUGUCGUCCAGACUGGUCUCACCCAACCAAACUCCUGGGCUCAAGCAGUCCACCCACCUCAGCCUUGCCUGGCCUUGUUCUUUACAUGCGUUAUGUCAGUUAAGCCCCCAGCAACCCUGUGAAGUAGGCAUCAUCAUCUUGAUUCUAUAGAUGAGGAAACUGAGGCUCAGAGUGAUUUCAACUUGCUGGGGGUUAGCAGGCAGCAGAACCAGGAUUUAGAUCUUUCUCCUACAAAAAACAUGUUUGUUU
ensembl:lncRNA AP1B1P1 AP1B1 pseudogene 1